ACGGGUGAGUAAUGCUUAUCUUACCUACCGUUUAGUGGGGGAUAAAAUACCGCAUAUUCUGGUUUCGACCAGGAAAGGGAGUCGUAAGACUUUCGCUAAAUGACGGGGAUAAGUCGCAUCAGCCGAUGAAAGUGGGGUAAUGGCUCACUGAGGCAAUGACGCGUAGCCGGGCUGAGAGGCUGAUCGGCCACAAGGGAACUGAAACACGGUCCCUACUCCUACGGGAGGCAGCAGUGAGGAAUUGUUGGCAAUGGGGGAAACCCUGACCACGCAAUGCUACGUGAAGGAAGAAGGUCUACGGAUUGUAAACUUCUUUACUAGAGGGUACUGACGAAAGGAUUGCCCUUUAGCAAAAAGUCACGACUAACUACGUGCCAGCAGUCGCGGUAAGACGUAGGUGGCGAACGUUAUCCGGAAUUAUUGGGCGUAAAGGGUGCGUAGAUGGCCUGACAAGUUAACAGUGGUAAAUCGAGGCUUAACCUCGUGGAAGCUGAUAAUACUGUCUGGCUCGAGUACAGAAGAGGUUAACGGAACUCCAUGUGGAGCGGUAAAAUGUGUAGAUAUAUGGAAGAACACCAAUAACGGCGAAGGCAGUUAACUAUUCUGUUACUGACAUUGAGGCACGAAAGCGUGGGGAGCAAAACGGAUUAGAUACCCGGGUAGUCCACGCCCUAAACGAUGAGUAUUAGACAUUGGGUGUUAUGCUUAGUGUCGCAGCUAACGCUUUAAAUACUCCGCCUGGGUAGUACGCUCGCAAGAGUGAAACUCAAAGGAAUUGACGGGGACUCGCACAAGCAGUGGAGCAUGUGGUUUAAUCCGAUACAACGCGUAGAACCUUACCAAGGCUUGACAUGUUGGGCAAAGCUAGGGAAACCUAGUGGAGGUUAUCCUAACACAGGUGCUGCAUGGCCGUCGUCAGUUCGUGCCGUGAGGUGUAUGGUUAAGUCCUAUAACGAACGCAACCCUUGGGCUUAGUUACCAGCAUUCAGUUGGGGACUCUAAGCCGACUGCCUGAGCAAUCAGGAGGAAGGAAAGGAUGACGUCUGGUCGUC
rnacentral:rRNA from 1 species